GUUGUUUUCAUAGCAGACAUGCUUCUUGCUCAAAUCAAGGCAGAGGAACCCAAGGGCAAAGCAACAGCCAUUAAAGGGAGUACAUUUAAUGUCCGAUAGGUGGAGAAAAUGCUGAAGGACGUCCACUACUAAAAAGCAGCAGAAGUGAAGAGAUACAAAGCUUCAGCUACAGUCUGUUUAUUGCCUACAGUGAGACCUCCACAUUUCUGCACUUGUGAUCAUGCAAACAUCCAGUGUAGAGCACUUCACCUGCCCGGCAUGUACACCCAACAAUGCUCGCUCUUUGUGCAGAUGGCAACAGAAAAACCUACAGAUUCCGUCAGUCAAAAGAAAGGAGCUUCAAGCAGCCACAAACGGAGAGUUCUUUUGAACAGAUAUUGCUUGCAAGUAUUGGCCAUACCUUGAGAAGGCGUCAGUCUCCAUGUUUGAACUCAGACCUUUACUGCAGAUGAGACCUUUCCUUUCUGUCAUGCAUGCCAAGGCUCAUUCAACCAAGUGUCAGGUGUCACACAUUUGUUAGAUAAUCUGGCAAAAAUCAGGAAGGUGCUGGUACAACUGCAGUUGAGGAGGUCGAAAUGGUCAACAGCUACCUGUCUCGUUGUGGCCUCACAACCAACCAGGAAUGACAUGCUAACUGUCCAUGCUAUUGGGUGGAACCAACGGAAGCAAGAAGGCCUUCAGCAUUAUCCAGCAGAUACAUCAAGAAAGGCUGAGUCUCAGAGACGGGAAGAUUUGAGCAGUGAACUGGGGUGUCCUGAGAACAUUGUGAAUCAGUGGGUACAAGAUGUCAGACAAAAGGCUACUGAUGGAUUUGGUAGGUACCAGAUGUGAUGACCUACACAACCUUCAGAAAUGAAUUGAACAAAUGUUUCUUAGUCUUCAUCGAAAAGCCAGCCUUUAUAAUCACACUGAAUCCAGCAACACCCUCACCAAGAAGAUUUCAAAAGUGCGCCUUCAAGAAGCAAAGAUCAUUGUGAUGAGGGAGAUGAGACACCACUGCACCGCACCUAUCUCAGAAGCCUGGCUAGGAACAUCAGGAAAAUGAUAUCAGAAAUGUCUUCAGGCAAAAACAGUGGCAGUUUAAGUGAAGAGUGUCAUCGCUGGCUACUGUGUCGUCUUCAGAAAAGGCUUGCAGAUGUAGAGAAGAAGUUCCAAGUUUGCUCAAGUUACAGCCAGGCUUUAGGACAGUGUUCUUCACUCCCAACCCCGGAGAGCCGGUGUCCUGCAGACUUUAGCUCCAACCUUAAUCAAACACACCUGAAAGC